GACGAACCGUGCGAACGUUGUUCGGAAUCACUGGGCUUAAAGGGCGCGUAGGCGGGCCCGCAAGUCAGGGGUGAAAUCCCACGGCUCAACCGUGGAAGUGCCUUUGAUACUGCGGGUCUGGAGGGAGGUAGGGGCGUGCGGAACUUCCGGUGGAGCGGUGAAAUGCGUAGAUAUCGGAAGGAACACCGGUGGCGAAAGCGGCGCGCUGGACCUCUACUGACGCUGAGGCGCGAAAGCGUGGGUAGCAAACAGG
rnacentral:rRNA from 1 species